rnacentral:rRNA from 1 species
UGUAUGGGGAUCUGCCCGAUAGAGGGGGAUAACUACUGGAAACGGUGGCUAAUACCGCAUAAUGUCUACGGACCAAAGCAGGGGCUCUUCGGACCUUGCACUAUCAGAUGAACCCAUAUGGGAUUAGCUAGUAGGUGGGGUAAAGGCUCACCUAGGCGACGAUCUCUAGCUGGUCUGAGAGGAUGAUCAGCCACACUGGGACUGAGACACGGCCCAG